CCUACGGGAGGCAGCAGUAGGGAAUCUUCCACAAUGGACGAAAGUCUGAUGGAGCAACGCCGCGUGAGUGAAGAAGGGUUUCGGCUCGUAAAGCUCUGUUGGUAGUGAAGAAAGAUAGAGGUAGUAACUGGCCUUUAUUUGACGGUAAUUACUUAGAAAGUCACGGCUAACUACGUGCCAGCAGCCGCGGUAAUACGUAGGUGGCAAGCGUUGUCCGGAUUUAUUGGGCGGAAAGGGAGUGCAGGCGGUUCAAUAAGUCUGAUGUGAAAGCCUUCGGCUCAACCGGAGAAUUGCAUCAGAAACUGGUGAACUCGAGUGCAGAAGAGGAGAGUGGAACGCCAUGUGUAGCGGUGGAAUGCGUAGAUAUAGGGAAGAACAACAGUGGCGAAGGCGGCUUGCUGGUCUGCAACUGACGCUGAGGCUCGAAAGCAUGGGUAGCGAACAGGAUUAGAUACCCCUGUAGUC
rnacentral:rRNA from 1 species